CCCAUAAUGCUGACUGUCCUUUUACUAAGCGUUUGCCCCUACAUAACCUCAUCUCCUCCACCCUCCUGGAGUCAUCACCCAUGCCCUGCCCUUCCGUUACCCCCCUGGAGAGAAGUGUACAUAUUUGUACUGCAAUUUGGCGUAGCGUCGCCGUCGCCGUCGCCCGCUCUGCUGUUGGCUGCGCUGCCUGCUCCUGUGAUUUGCCUCUUUUUGGGCUCUCAUUUACACAGAAAUGCUGGAUGGAAUCGCAUUUUUGUGUAGUUUUGCUUCGACGGGGUCCUGUGAAAUAUGCUACGCAAUGAAAUUUUCCUCCUUAUGGAUUCCAUGACAACCAAAACACACAUAUGAGAUGGAUGGAUGGAUGGUCUUUGUUAUUUUGUAAUGGAGAUGCUGUGGGAAAGAGAGACAGAAAGAGAGAGAGCAAUAGAGAGAGAAAAUAGGGACUGAAGAGAGAGAGCGGGAGAAUGUGUGGCGAAAAAAGAUGCAAGGCAAAAUGUCAAAAACGAAUUGCACACAAAAAUUCCCAGGCGGUAAGCGCAGCAAAGCAGGACUACGCGCUGAGAAUUCACAAUUGGCAAAGGGCGUAACCGAGUACCCGAUCUGGAACAGCCCAAAGAAUGUUUUAUUUUCAUUUUUGAAGAGUUGGCUGUACGUUUAAGGGGGUACGUUAAUGGGGAGAAAAGUUUAAUUAUGGAGCAUAGACUGCCUUGGCUUUAAUCUAAACUAUCUACUUAAGAUUCUGAUGUUAGUUAUUUAAAAAUCUUACAAUAUUCCUUAUUACUUGUAUUGGUCGCAAAACGAAGGAUUUUAAUGAGAUUUCAUUGCCUUAGGCCAUUUAAGAUAAGCGAUUCUAAUGAAAUCUUCAUUAGAAGAUUUUUCAUUUUCUUGUUAUCUAAUUAUGUUAUCUAAUUAAAGUUCCAAUAGCUUGAGAUUAUUAAUCUGGCAUCUUCUGAUAUUUUGGUUAAAAACCUUGGGGAUCAUAAAGGUUCUUAAACUAUGGUUUGACGGUUUAGUAAUUACAUCCUUCCUUAUACAUAUAUCAGUUGUAUCUAA